ACGGGUGAGUAAUGCUUAUCUUACCUGCCGUUUAGUGGGGGACUAAAAUACCGCAUAUUCUGGUUUCGACCAGGAAAGGGCUUCGGCUCGCUAAAUGAUGGGGAUAAGGCGUAUUAGCUAGUUGGUGGGGUAAAGGCCUACCAAGGCAAAGAUGCGUAGCCAGGCUGAGAGGCUGAUUGGCCACGAGGGAACUGAAACACGGUCCCUACUCCUACGGGAGGCAGCAAUGAGGAAUCGUCGGCAAUGGGGGCAACCCUGACCGCGCAAUGCUACGUGAAGGAUGAAGGUCUACGGAUUGUAAACUUCUGUUCGAAGGGAAGAAAAAAAUGACAUUACCUUCGGAGAAAGCCACGACUAACUAUGUGCCAGCAGUCGCGGUAAGACAUAGGUGGCGAACGUUAUCCGGAUUUAUUGGGCGUAAAGGAUGCGUAGAUGGUGGAAUAAGUUAUUGGUCGAGGUCAAGCUCAACUUGGCGGAAGCUGAUAAUACUGUUCUACUUGAGGACAGGAGAGGUUGGCGGAAUUCUGUGUGGAGCGGUGAAAUGCGUUGAUCUACAGAGGAACACCAAAAAGGGCGAAGGCAGCCAACUAUUCUGAUCCUGACAUUGAGGCAUGAAAGCGUGGGGAGCAAACCGGAUUAGAUACCCGGGUAGUCCACGCCCUAAACGAUGAGUACUAGAUAUUGGGAACUUGAUUCUCAGUGUCGCUAGUUAACACGGUAAGUACUCCGCCUGGGUAGUACGCUCGCAAGAGUGAAACUCAAAGGAAUUGACGGGGACUCGCACAAGCAGUGGAGCAUGUGGUUUAAUCCGAUACAACGCGUAGAACCUUACCAAGGCUUGACAUGUUGGGCAAAGCUAGGGAAACCUAGUGGAGGUUAUCCUAACACAGGUGCUGCAUGGCCGUCGUCAGUUCGUGCCGUGAGGUGUAUGGUUAAGUCCUAUAACGAACGCAACCCUUGGGCUUAGUUACCAGCAUUUAGUUGGGGACUCUAAGCCGACUGCCUGAGCAAUCAGGAGGAAGGAAAGGAUGACGUCUGGUCGUC
rnacentral:rRNA from 1 species